GUGGACUGUUCAGCAGGAGCAAGCUGAGCCAUAAGAGUGGGCUACUCAGCUAGAGCAGGCUGGGCCACGGGAGCAGGCUGGGCCAUGAGAGUGGGCUACUCGGCGAGAGCAAGCUGGGCCACGAGAGUGGGCUGCUCGACAGGAAUAGGUUACUCAGAGUGUGAUGCACAUGGGUGCGAGGCUUGGGCUCGGCUUGGCAACGCGUUGAGUUCGCGUUGGGCUUGGAGUGACAUGGUUUAGGCCAUGGCCUUGGUGCCGUGAGCCUUGGAUGGCACGGCU
rnacentral:lncRNA from 1 species